GAGGUUGUAGCUCAGUGGUAGAGCACAUGCCUCUUAUGAAGGAGGUACUGGGUUUGAUUCUCAGCACCACA
rnacentral:tRNA from 1 species